rnacentral:lncRNA from 1 species
GGUGUCUGAAGCCUAAUGGCUAGUUUUUUAAAGCAUCUCCAAUGGAUAGAAAAGUUUCCAAAAACUAUUGAGUUUUUGAAUGGUUAUCUUACCUCUUCCAAUCAUUUUUGGAUAUAUUUAAGUAAAAAUUUAAUCAAGAAACUAACAAGAAGCAUCUAAGUGAGUGAAAAAGUCAAAGAGAAUGUGUACAUAAGAAAACCUUCAAGUCCAACCUUCUAGUAUUCAAUUCACUUGAAAAGAUAGAUUUACUUUAUUUAUUAUGUGAGCUAUCAGCUGAGCAAUCAUUCAAAGUAAUCCUUCAAGCC